AUAUCACUUUUUACAUAACAAUAUAUUUUAAGUAAAACAAUAGCAAUUUAUUUGGGUAGCUUUUUGUAUGAGUUUGUUGUGUACAAGAAAUGUUAUAAAAGUGAGUUGAAAUACACAAUUUAUUUGAGCAGCUGUCGAUGUGGCAUGUGUGUUCAUCAAACUUAAAUAUUUGAAAUAAAAAACACAUAAAAAUUAAGUUGGAUUUAUCCCUUUUUCACUGGCGGGGACUUUCCAAGGCAGAUGCUUCCUCGGCACUUCAACUGUUUGAAAGCUGCAGCGGAUCUAAAUUUCACAGACUGAUUAACACGUCUCCGGUGGGGCAUGCAGCUGUCGUGGGGUCCUCGUGUUAUCAGCAGCAGAGUUGUAACCAAGCGUUUUUGUUACCUGGGGUCUUCAGAUACAGGAUCCGUCUGGCUAUGUGGAGAAAAGGAGAGAAGUGGUACUGAGAUGCCUGAUUGAGAUCAUAUGGGAGGGAAAGGAAGACCUCAUCAGUGUCCACCAUAGUCAUGAUGAAACAGAGGUGCACGCUGAGCUUGGCAGUUCCCCACUGAAAAUAUACAUGCGCCAUCAGCCAAACACGAUUGGGAUUAUCACAGUUGAAGA